ensembl:lncRNA
GAGUGAUUUGUGCAUAAUAGACAAAGGCGGCCAUUGUUCCUCUCACUCCUAGUGAAAAGCCAAUUGUCCCGGUUGAUAUAUUAUCGAAUAGAUAUUUGAAAAACACCUUGAGGAUUGAUUAUAAAAAACGUUUGCCAUGUUUCUGUCGAUAUUAUGGAUCUAAUUUGUCGUGACCGCAAUUUCCGGUGGAUUUCUCAACAAAACGUGAACAAGAAAAGGAGGUAUUUCGGCUAUAAAAAUAAUCUUUAUGGAACAAAAUAAACAUUUGCUGUCUAACUGGGAGUCUCGUGAGUGAAAACAUCCGAAGCUCAUCAAAGAUGUCUCUCUUUCCAUUCAUCAAAUGGCGUGAAUGCACUGUUUAGAUGCUGGAAUUACUAUGGACUGGACAAACAUGCACAGGAGGGGUGCGUGACUUGAGUGGGUUGAGUCACUGAUGUGAUCUUCCUGUCUGGGUUGGCGCCCCCCCUUGGGUUGUGCCGUGGCGGAGAUCUUUGUGGGCUAUACUCGGCCUUGUCUCAGGAUGGACCUGAGCCCUAGGACCAUGCCUCAGGACUACCUGGCAUGAUGACACCUUGCUGUCCCCAGUCCACCUGGCCGUGCUGCUGCUCCAGUUUCAACUGUUCUGCCUGCGGCUAUGGAACCCUGACCUGUUCACCGGACGUGCUACCUGUCCCAGACCUGCUGUUUUCAACUCUCUAGAGACAGCAGGAGCGGUAGAGAUACUCUUAAUGAUCGGCUAUGAAAAGCCAACUGACAUUUACUCCUGAGGUGCUGACUUGCUGCACCCUCGACAACUACUGUGAUUAUUAUUAUUUGACCAUGCUGGUCAUUUAUGAACAUUUGAACAUCUUGGCCAUGUUCUCUUAUAAUCUCCACCCGGCACAGCCAGAAGAGGACUGGCCACCCCUCAUAGCUUGGUUCCUCUCUAGGUUUCUUCCUAGGUUUUGGCCUUUCUAGGCAGUUUUUCCUAGCCACCGUGCUUCUACACCUGCAUUGCUUGCUGUUUGGGGUUUUAGGCUGGGUUUCUGUAAAGCACUUAGAGAUAUCAGCUGAUGUAAGAAGGGUUAUAUAAAUACAUUUGAUUUGAUUUGAUAGCAGGAGGGUGAUGGAAGAGAGGCUAACUGCCUGUAUAGACCACCAUUGACUUCAGAGCAUCAUGUUCUGAUUAACUCCAGGGGUGCAUGAUUCCAUUUUGGUGGAUACCUUUUGCCUCCAACACAGUGUCUAAUUUAUUUUAAAUUACGCAGAGGGGAAAGGAAAGAUGGGAAACUUUCUCUCUCUCUUUUGAUUAACCGCUGUGGGAACACAAAACCAAAAGGAAUGAAGAGAAACCUUUUCAAAGUGAAAAGUUCAUUUUCCUUAGCUGGUUGGAAAAUGUUAAUUACUCAAAUCUACCAGUUUUGGGGGUCAUUAGUGUACUUCAGAAAGUUCUGCUCUUUGCCAAACUUUGCUCUAAAAUUAAGCCUCACUAGAUGGAUGUCUGAGGAUGUCCUGAGAGAGAGGUUGGCACAGGGAUACUCCACGUUGCUGCCUGCCUGCCUGCCUGCAGGCUUACUACUGCUACAAAGAGACCCACAUUUACACAGUAACUCAAAUCCAAAUUAUAACGCCAUCAAAGGAGACAUUACUUCAACCCACAUAGAUGGUUUCCUAUUCUCCCAUGAUGUGUACAGUGUGUUGUUAAUGAAGUGUGGUGCUGGCUGAGGUCCUGGGAGCCCUCUGGUCCAAAGGGCUUUGAAAGAAACUAUUCAGAACAUGGCUGAACCGGGGCCAAGUCAAACGACGCCUGCUCCUUUCAUCACAACAUCUGGGGUGCCACAAAAACAUUCUGGAAGGAUCCAGUCUGCUGAGACCCAAUCAGCUCCCAACACAUCCGUCUCCAUCCCCCUUCCUCCUCCUCAAACCUCAUCCUGCCAUCCUUCCCCCGUUCCCUGCAGGACACAAACCUCUCAUUCAUACUGGUCAGUUCUAUUCCUUGGUGCCAAGGAAACUGUUGUUGUACCACCCCCACCAUCCCACCACUGACACACAAAGGAUGGUAUUAAGAUGUCUGUGUAUAAAUCCUCACUGCAUACAAAUCUGUAAGUCAAUGUGGCUGGUGAGCCCUGAGCUGCCUGCCCUCUGCCAUCCAUGCUUCAGAUAACAAGAUGAGUAUGUAGGCAUCCAUUAAAAGUCUGGCUAGUGGUUCCCUCAUAUACGUCAACUUGAGCUAUUAAUAUACAGUGCAUUUGGAAAGUAUUUAGGCCCGUUGACUUUUUCCACAUUUUGUUACGUUACAGCCUUAUUCUAAAAUGGAUUAAAUAAAUAAAUAAUCCUCAUCAAUCUACACACAAUACCCCAUAAUGACAGAGCGAAAACAGGUUUUUAGACAUUUUAGCAAAUAUAAGAAAAAUAACAAAUUAUUUACAUAAGUAUUCAGACCCUUUGCUAUGAGACUCAAAAUUGAGCUCAGGUGCGUCCUGUUUCCAUUGAUAAUCAACUUUUUUGUUGUACUUUUACCAAUUUUUCAUGAUAUCCAAUUGGUAGUCACCGUCUUGUCCCAUCGAUGCAACUUCCCUACGGACACGGCAGAUGCAAAGGUUGAGAGCCAUUUGUCCUCCGAAACACCACCCUGCCAACCCGCACUGCUUCGUGACACACUGCUCACUUAACCCGGAAGCCAGCCGCACCAAUGUGUCAGAGGAAACACUGUCCAGCUGGCGACUGAAGACAGUGUGCAGGCAUUUGGCCCGCCACAAGGAGUUGCUAGAGUAUGGUCGGACAAGGAAAUCCCUGCCGUCCAAACCCUCCCAUAAACCGGGCGACGCCAGGCCAAUUUUGCGCUUCCUCAUGGGUCUCACGGUCAAUGCCGGAUGUGACACAGCCCGGGAUCGAACCCGGGUCUGUAGUGAUGUUUCAAGCACUGCAAUGCAGUGCCACUUGGGAGGCUCCCAUUGAUCAUCCUUGAGAUGUUUCUACAACUUGAUUGGAAUCCACCUGUGGUAAAUUCAAUGAAGGUCCCGCAGUUGACAGUGCAUGCCAAAGCAAAAACCAAGCCAUGAGGUCGAAGGAAUUGUCCGUAGAGCUCAGAGACAGGAUUGUGUAGAGGCACAGAUCUGGGGAACGGUACCAAAAAAUGUCUGCAGCAUUGAAGGUCGCUAAGAACACAGAGGCCCACAUCAUUCUUAAAUGGAAGAAGUUUGGAACCACCAAGACUCUUCCUAGAGCUGGCCAUCCAGCCAAUCUGAGCAAUCUAGGGAGAAGGUCCUUGGUCAGGGAGGUGACCAAGAACCCGAUGGUCACUCUGAUAGAGCUCCAGAGUUCCUCUGUAGAGAUGGGAGAACCUUUCAGAAGGACAACCAUUUCUUCAGCACUCUACCAAUAAGGCCUCUGUGAUAGAGUGGCCAGACGGGAUCCACUCCUUAGUAAAAGGCACAUGACAGCCCGCUUGGGAGUUUGCCAAAAGGUACCUAAAGGACUCUCAGACCAUGAGAAACAAGAUUCUCUGAUCUGAUGAAACCAAGGUUGAGAACUCUUUGACCUGAAAGCCAAGUGUCAUGUCUGGAGGAAACCUGGCACCAUCUCUAUGGUGAAGAAUGUUGGUGGCAGCAUCAUGCUGUGGGGAGAUUUUCAGUGACAGGGACUGGGAGACUAGUCAGGAUCGAGGGAAAGAUGACUGGAGCAAAGUACAGAGAGAUCCUUUUUGUAAAAAAUCCUCCAGAGCGUUCAGGACCUCAGACUGGGGCAAAGGUUCAGCUAGUGGGCUAAACCGGCAUGGCGGCUUGUUAGACAAAAGGGGAAGUGGUGGUCGACUAAGAAGUCACGACAGAGUGAUAAUUAUAACAAUUGAAAUGCUAAUCCUUUGCACAUGAACGCUCAGUAUGUCGUCUUGAUUUCUGGUGAAAAGUUAGUUUCUGUUGGAGAGUCGUGUCCUCUCUCCCUCUCUGUCUUGGUUAGAGAGAAUAGUUCAGAGUGACAUUCAUUCAUUUGUUAUAGAAUGGAUGUUUCGGCGGUUGUCGUUCUUCGCGUUCAAUGAUAUCGAAUUCCUAGCUGCAGACUAGUAAUUAAUAUCAAAGACUUGUUCUUAUUCUGUCGGUAUCGAUAGUAUAAGAGUUUAACCACGUGGUAUGGUUAAAAGAUUCAGCAAUGGUCUACAACUUUCGUCCUCUCCUAAUGGAGAAAAACAUGGUCUGGUGAUAAUUUCUCAAAGUUGGAUUUUAUUUGGAAUUGCAGAAAAGGGGCUGUCCCAGGAUGCCUGACCCUAACUGGGCUCAGGGGUGGUCCUCUGAUUUAGUUCAAAUCAAAAGGGAAUUGUAUUUUCCUUCAUUAAACAGUCCAAAAUCAUAUUACACAAUUUUACAAACAGUAUCAUACUCACUCAUUCAUCUUAUACAACAAUUAGAUGUAAACCUCAUAUCUGAGGCUAUUAUAUAAACAGCGUUAUGGUAAUGUGGCCACACCGUCUCCCAUGAGCUUCCCCAAGUUGUAAGAAAUGGACCAGUUCGUAGCUGGAUUCUUCACUGAUUUUUUACACUUUCUCUGGAACAUGAAAUGUGUUCCUACCUCAAGUUCUGUGAGCUGGAAGAAAUUCCUUUGUGCUCUAUGAAAAUGUACUCUGCCUCUUAUACUAUGUGGCCAUGUGGCAGGGUCUUCUCAGGAAUUUACGACCUCUCUCUGACCACAGCAGCCUAGUUUAGGGAGGCAAGGGGGAGGCAGGGAGAGGGGGAUGGGGCUUGCUAUACCCAAAGAGGGCAACGUCAUGACAGUACAUACCAUUUUCCUUCCUAUUGAUAUUCUGUCUAUACACACCACAUAUUUAUAAUCUGCACCUGCUAUAACUCCUGCAAAUAUGUGUACACGAACAACAAACUUUGAUUUCAUUUGGUUCGAUUCUGCCUUACCAAGGUCUGUAGAAUUUACUUCAAAUUCCAAUAAAUGGAACCUCCAUGAACGCUUCAACCAUUAGGCCAGCUGGUGGAGCUAUGGAGCCAGUCUGUCUACCCCAGAUAUGAGCCCUUCACUGCCUGACCCUGUUCGUACCUUGGCCUUGCUGGGAAAUGCUACAGCACAGUUGCAGACACUCCCAAUCUGCUCAUUUGGACCCGUUUCAACAUCACCCGUGGGGAAGUUCUGAUUCUACAACAGCAGCGUUUAGUCUGCUUGAUUUGUUUCCUUAACUUCCAACAAAUACAAUCAGUACAGACGCACUCUUACGAAUCCCAAAGUUUGCAAUGAUAUUAGUAGCAGUGCAUGGUCUCUCUUGUCAACACAAUCACAAACCGCACGCACACAC